AUAUUGUAGCUAAAAGUGUUAACUUAUGUGUAGUUGAAUUAUGUAACGCAUAAAUAUAUAUUAGAAAUAUUAGUUGAAUAAAACGUGUAUUUGCUGUUUAUACUUACCUAAUAAAAAUAUGUAGUUGAAUAAUGCAAUCUGUUACACACACAAUUGUUAAACUUAUGCAAUAGGUACAAAUGAUACUGGUCUAUACUUGAUAAAAUAUUUUUCAUCAAUUCAUCUUCAGGAGCCGGUGGAUUACGGAUGUCUUCAGUCAUGUUGUAUUGAUAACUCCCAGUGUCUGAUCGAAUACGUCGUGAAUGUCCAGUGACCGCGGUUCUGUACCAUAGAUAACCGAGGGUUAUGUCGGACUAAAAAUAUA